CUGAUGGGUCGCUGCGUUGCCGUGGAGCGCGUGACCUCAUUGUGUAAGUAAGACGUGGUCAAUCACACAGAGGUCUUUGUAGCCUUCAACGACAAAGUAGGUGUUUUUGCACCUUUUGCGAUCAGUGGUGGUUUAUAACCUGCAGAAUGGAUAGGAAAAACUUGCAUCUCCUGGUCAGGAGUGGACUGAGAUCGGUCAUGGACCAAGAGCUUU